UAAAAUUUAUUGUGACUUCAUCAUUUGCAAGAAACGAAUUUGCGCUUCAGUUGACUAUAUCGCUGAUUUGGCGGACCAAGGACCUUUUUUCUUAGCUCUUUUUCAAAGCGUUCGAUUUUUGUUGGUUUUAAAAAAAAGGGGACGGAAAGCAUUUCUUGGAGUCGUUAAGAAGUGUGCGAGAGACAGACAGAGAGAGAAUAGAGAAAGAGAGGAAAAUGUGUACCGAUUUGUGCUGUUAUUCAUACGGAUCGUGUUACUCGUGCUCACCAUGUACUAGUUUGCAUUCACAUUGCAGCUUGCGGUCAUGCAAAUAUCGUUCGUAUUGUGACCCAUGCGGAUUGGUCUGUGUUCCAGAAAUUCGAUUCUGUUACAUCUGUUAUCGUCGCCAUUGGAAGUGUCGCCACUAUUAAAUCACCACAAACAUAUAUAGAAAUCCUGCAGCAGUUUCAUGUUUGGUCACAUAGAGAACAAUUCUUGAACCAAAUUCCACAAUAUUUAACAUUGCCUCGCACACAUUUAGUUUAAAUGACACGCAUCAGCAACACUAUUUUGGUUUACACGAAAUACACCGGACGUUUCGGCAUCACAUUUUUGCAAAGAACAAAAAGAACACAAUGAACUCAGAGCUCGUUUGUCACCAAAGGGACGAAGCACACACAUAAAUAAAUACCAUUCACCUUCACAUGGGCAGAUUUUUUUUCGGCAUUUCUUGACAAAGAAACAGUGAUAAAUACAUUUUUAUUCGCAAACGUUGAAAACCUGUCAAAGCACCGUGCAAUGAAAACAGUAUGGUAUGGAUAUACGUUUGUAUGAAAAACAAGACUUGUGCGUAAUUUGUAUCGAUUUUGAAUAAACAAAUGAAAAUUCAUGUAAAACAGCAUUAAAUCGACAUAUCGCCAAUGUAAACGCUUAGCUUAGACGCAAAACGCAAAUGUAACAUGCAACUUCUGAAAUUCGCAAAAAAAAAUUGAUCAAAAUCGAUGGCACCAUUUGCAUAACUUUGUGGAAUAUUAAUUUGUUAUGAAUUCACUUUUACCACACCCAGACUCAGAGUUUUCUUUUACGACAUCAAUAGCGGGUUCAUAUUACAGAAAAAAUAACGUUAGGACAUGCACUAUCCACAAGCAAACCUCUUGAUAGAGUGAACGACGAAAAAUACACAAUUUUUUCUCAUGAAAUUUCAAGGCGUUACUUCCUUGGGCAAUUUCUUCUAUUCGAAAACUGAAAAGAAAAAAAAUCAGCGAAAGAAAUAGUAAUUUUCUUUUGCAUCAUUUUCUACCCAAAGUAAAUAGAACACAAAACAAAAUGCAAUAGUUCGCGCCAAACGGUGUUUAAAUUGUAGUCACCGUUGCUUUUCCAGAACAGCACCAAAAACAAUAAAAAAACUUUUUGAAGCUCCAAUUGAACAAAAGUCUCCUUAAAUGUUUUUUUGUUUUGUGUUUUUUUUGCUCUUGAUAAGUGUGAUCACUUGUGAUGAAUGAGUUUGCUGAAAUGUGAUGAGCCAUUCAAAACGAAACUGAAAUUACAUUAAAUGUGAAAAUUAAUUAUUGAUUGAGAGACAAUGAGCCGAUUGCGGGAAAGUGUUGUGAAUUGACAGGAUUGUGUGUGAAAUGCGAGCAUUGUUGUAGUAAUGUUCAUGUUUGUGAUCAUCAGUGAAAGAGUAUUAUAUUUCAUAAUAAUAUAAACAGAAUACACGCACCCAAAACGGCAAAGAGAUUAGAUAUAGAUGUGUUUUGUGUUUAUUUGUUAUGUAGAAGAGAUGAACAAAAAAACAUUCCAAUUUGACCAGAUAAUUUAGAUGUUGAACUGUUUUCCAUGAUUUUUCGCCUUCAAUUUUCUCUUGCCAUUCUUUGCGCACGCACAAUGACGACGCGCGAUCAGAUGAUGAUGAUGAUUCACUUUCUUGACGAUGAAGUUCAAAUGCGUUCAGUGUGUGAGAUGCAGAGAAUGAAAUGGGAGAAACAGAGCGCGCUCGCGCGUUCGAACGAUGUUCACAUUUAAAAUUGUUAUUAUUGUGUUUUUUUUGUGUGUUCAUGAGAUCAUGUAUGCAGAAAGACAAUGGAAUAAAACAUUGAACCAAUUGAAGAGAAAAAAACGCACACCGGGAGAGCGAGAGAGAGAGAGAGAAUGAAGCGAAACAAAAAUACAACAACUCACAUUAUAAUAUAUUCAUUGAAAUGCGGUAUUAAUGACUUUCGUCUGUUGUGGAAAGACAUUAUUUACUGGCGUCUCGCAUCGGCAAAAAUCUUACCGUCGCACUCGCGAAUUAGGUUAAUUCAAGUGCGCGGGGAGUAAAAUGUGGCUUUAAAACGUUCUUUUAAAACUUAUUUGAACCGGAAUAAGAUUUUCUUAAGAUCGACCAAAAAUAAUGACAGGCCGACAAAUUUAAUCAAAAGCAUUGUUUGCAUGCUUGAACGAGUGAAAGAGAGAGAACGAUUGAAUCUUGAAAUUUAGAAAAAGAAAAUGAAGACGUUGAUGAUGGAAAAAACAAUUAUAAUAGACAAAUAAAACGAUUUUUCUCUUGGCUCAAUUGUUUAUUGUUCAACAAUUAUUGUUCGAAAGUGAGAAGAGCUGAUUUUUUUUUGUUUGCUUCUUCUAACAAGCUCAAUCACAUUUUCGGCAUCAUAUAUGAUCACUUAAUUACAUUUGGGAAGUAAAAAAAAGCAUUAAACAAAUUUCAGAUGCCGAACACACAUUCGCUUUGAAAAUAAAUCAAACUUCGACACACAAGCUUAAGAAAAGGUGAAAAUGAAGGAAGAUGAUCAUAAAUGAAGUUGUUGUUUUUAUUUAGUUUAUUCAGAACUGCUUUUUUAAACAUCCGCAAUUUUUACGGGUAUGAAGGAAAAGUUAUAUUAGUAGUUCAGGAAAAACUGUCUCGUGCAUAUUUGUCAUUGAUUUCACUUUCUAAGGGUAAUGCACUUUAUUUUUCACAUAUUGAAAUUCAUAUUUUGAGAAUCAUAUUUUGUCUAAACUGGACAUUUUUUUCUAACACACUUUCUAAGGGUGAUUCCAAAUCAUUUCAAGGUCUCGAUUUUAGAUUAUCAGAUCUUUUUCGAUCCACAACCAUUCAAUUCAAUAUUAUACAAUUGUUCUCUUCAUUGAAUUUUAUAGAUUUCUCAAUCUUCUUUCGUCGAGAAACGUAUCCUGAAUUUGAUUGAGUUGCAAUUGUUUUAUGUAAAAUUAAGUGCUUCUAAUAAAUAUUAAAUCGAAAAUUGAUCACGCUAAAAUGCACACAAAAUGCAAGCGAAAUCAAUAGCCUAAUUAAUAUACCGAUUGAGAUUGUGGUCGAUACUUCGGUCCAUUAAAAUUUUCGCCAAUAUUUCUUACAAUAUUGUAGCUGAUAAUGAUACCCAUUGAAACGGCAAACAAAUUUACAUAUUUACUCUCAAUUGUUUAAUAGCAACAUGAUGUGUUGAGUGAAUUUCAGUCCAAUAAUUGC